CCAGUCGCGGGAGGUGGGUGGGGGCGGAAUUCCGCCCUGCCCGAGCGCGCGGAGGGCGGGGCGCAUCGGGGGUGGGGGGUGCUGCGGGGUGUCUGGCCUGGGUAAGACGGGUUCCCGUAAGACCGCUCGCUGUGAGGGCGGGGUGCCCUCCCUCAUGGGGUCGGGCGCGGGUGGGCCCACGCCGCUGCCGGGGUCACAUCGUCCUGGGAGCCUCGCCCAGCGACCCGGGUCCACCUUCCCCCGCCUCCUGGGUCCCUAGAGCGCCCUGCUCACCACCUCGACGGUCUGCGCGCUCAGACCUUUUGGGGGUCCUGACCAGCCCACAGGGCCCAGAAGGCAGCGGGGCCCCUGAGAUGAGGAUUUGGAUCAAGGUGUCCUGUUCAGUUUGUACCCAGAGGCUCAGCUGUCUCCUCUUCCUCAGGGCCCAAAAGCCACCGAGGGAGAAAACAGUCCAAAGACGGUUCAGUUGGAGCAGCAUGAAAACAUGUUGGAAAGUCUUGUGCAGAACUGUUAGCUAUUUUCGGGGAGAGAAGCCAUGUCACUGCUUCUUAUCGCAUCGCCUCCACGAGAGCUGGCGCUCUGUGCCUGCUCCCAGAGCCCUGGGCCUGCCUUGACUGAGGUGGGGUUAGGUGUUUCACAGUUUUGUAGUAUGCUUUCAAGCAUGAAGAACCUGAUUUUUGUUAAUGUGUGGCAAGGUCAGCACUGCCAGAUUAAGAAUGAGUGUCAGCAGAUUUUUUGGAAGUCGUUGAGAAGUGUAUUUUUUGUAUAUUACGUGUUAUUUCUAGAUUCAUUUGCGAGUCAUACUUAAUACUCUGCCUGGCUCUGCCCUGUCUCGUGUUUCCAGAUUAAACACAAUGUGCAGCCUUCAGUUCCUGGCCAGUUCCACGUUCCCGGAAAUGAAAGGAAGGCAGCAGAUUCAGAGUUUACUAGGAAGGAGGUGGGCGUGGCUGGGGGGCCUGCUGUGAGCAUGGGGCAGGGCCUAGCUUGUGACCUUUGCCUUCUGAGCCAGCCCUCAGGCCUGGAAGCUGUAACUGACACUCUGCCUGACGCUGUUGACCAUGCCUGGUGUAGCUGGGCUCAGUUCAGAUCAUGAGUUCCCUAAAAUCAGAUGAGGGCCCAGUCGGCCACUCCUACUUGUGGAUGACAAAGCUCAUACCAAGAGGAAUCAUCAACCCAAGGCAGCAUGGGCUGGCAGUAGGGGGGAUGGGCGGCAUGGCCCUCAGGGCGUGGAGGUCUGGGAAGACCCAGUGAGCUGCUUGCCUCCAGUGAGAGGUUAGCCUUUCCCUUUAGAGGGGCAGCAUCUGCACCUUCUCUGGGUGGCCAUGAAAGGCUGGGGGGUCUGCCUGGCCCGGUCCUAUGCCUGCCUGCUGGGAGGCUUGCCAAGGAGAGUCCAUCACAGCCUCUUUGGGGACUCGGCCUGCUCUCAGAAGGCCCUAAGACUGUGCUGGAGCAGGCAAAUGCUGUCUGCCUUAAAUGUCCGGUAAGAAAUGCUGACCCCUCGACUGGGUGGGGCGGGCCCACUUACCAGCUUCCUUCUCCGUGGAGUUGGCCUUCUGAUGAAGAGCAUGGAGCCUUCCCUGUCCUUGUGCCCUCCUUUGCCAUGGGUUCUGUGAUCUCAUGACCCUGAAGACGUCCCUGAGCUUCUCCACGGCCUGUGCAGACUUCAGCCACACCCUGGUGCGCUCUCCCAGCCUGUGGGGACACUCAGGUUGACAUCUGAGCGUGUGUCCUGUGGGCUGCCCCCCUCCUGUCCUCCCUCCUCAGCUGCCACAGUUGCCAUUCUCCUGGUCCACAUCACCAUUCCCUUCCCCCGUGCCCUUUCCUGUCUGUGCAGCCAUGUCCACAGGCUCGGAGGCAGAGCCACAGCUCAGCCUGUUCCCAUGUUGGCCCUCUGUCCCCAGGUAGGGCCCCUUGAGAACAGGAUUGCUUUUUACUUCUGUCCCAUGGCACCUGACUUGCACUUUGCCCUGGACAAUCCACCCCACAUGGUGAUCUGGGCAAAUCAGUGCGGAGAUGGACCACGUUCCACAUUGAACCAGCCUCCAGUGAACCGGCCCACCGCUCCUGCCAGGAGAGGCGACUUGCUGUAGUCUCUACCAGUCAGGACUCUAUGGCAGAGACGGGACUGGCUGCGGAUGGUUCCCUCUGGCCAGGAAAGUAGAAGGAGGAAGGUGUCACCAAGGUCUUCCAGGUGGCUCUCCCCAUUGGUCCCCAGUCCCUAUGGGCAACACUUGCACACCUCCUUCCCUCUCAGACAGGAAAGUGGAGAUUUGUCUGCCCCCAUCUCCCCCAAAACCCUAGCCUGUCUGCUCCUGGUGUUCAUCCGUGUGUCUGCUGCCACUAGAGAGAGGGCCCUCCAGGGACAGGGCUGGACAUGCAGACUAUAGAUCAAUGGACAGACCAGCUGUGAAAUGGUAGAUGUGUCCUAAAUAAAAGGAAUGACUUGCAAUAUCGGAGGACUUUGUAUCCGGAGAGCUAACCUGACCUUUGUAAAGAUGGCAUCUCAGGGCUGGAGGUCACUUCUGUCUGCAGACACCUGUGGCGUCACACCUCAGGAAUGGGGCUGGGCAGAGCUCUCUCUGCUGGCUCGGGGCUAGCCUGUCUCCCAAGGACCCAGUAAGCUGGUCCCAGCACAGCGUGGGAGAGCAGUGGCGUCCUGAUGCCCAUCUCAGGCUGAAGCACCAUGCGGCUGUUCACAGGGUUUUGUGGGACUGGUCAUCUUGGCCAGCUCCCCUACCCACGUCUGUGUACCUGGGAGUCUUUGGGCUUUUUAGUGCAUAUGGGUCUAUGACAAACUUCACCCUCGCACCACAAACUCCAUUUCCGCCCUGGGGUUACGAGAAGUAGCAGUAGAAGCAGAACCGCCCAGCGCUCCUGACCCAUGCGCCCAGCGCUCCUGACCCAUGCUGGUCUCCUGGCUCUAGGCUGUCUGCUGCUCACAGCCUGCCCAGCCCAAAAUGAUGCUGUGUGGCGGGGGAGGAAGCCCUGUGGCUGGGAAGCUGAGACUGGGAGGCAGGGCCCACUGACAGUCCAGCCCCUGGGGUUUGAAGAACACUGGUGUGGGACACCCUCCCUGGAGUGAUGGACAAGACUUCACCCCUUGGACGACGACUCCUCCCUGAAAACUGAGGAAGUGAGCUCCAUUGGGGUCCUGGAGUCUGUUCUUUGAGGUAUGUUUCUGGGAAGAGCAUCUAGCAGCUUCCAUCCUAUUCUCCGAGGCCAGGUGGAUUUUGAUGGGGAGAAGUAGGUGGGGAAGGAUCCUGGCUCUUCUGGGGCACAUGUGGUGGCAGACCUGCAGGCUUGGGGAGCCGGGCUCAGGUUGGGGUUACAUUCUUAACCCCGGCUCUCAGAGAGUUGGAGCCUGGAAUUUAAAAUAACCUCUUGCUGUCUCUAUUGACAUUUAGCUUUUUCUCACACUGUGAGUGUGGGCGGCAGACCACAGUGGCAUUGGCGGAACAUGUGGAGGGCGUGGGUGUGUCCUGGCCGGUGGUGGGUGGAGACCUACCCCCUGUGCUCGCCUGCACCUCCCAGUUACAUUGGCUGUCACGUCUGCAGCUGACGCUUAGCGAAGCACAGCUGGGGUCUCUCCUGGUAACGGUCUCUGUCUCUGUCCCUGCGUGUCGCAUGUGUUGCGUUUUGCAUUUGAAAGCCUUCUGAGGGGUGCACAGGCCCCACCACGUGCAUAGGCGUCUGGAUCCAGGAGCUGUGCUCUGCGAGGAGCCUCCGCUGCCCUGAACAGCUGCUCUGGCCGCCGCUCUCCCUGUCCUCCAGGAGCUCACUUACAUCCGGCCGUGAGCUCCUCGAGGCCAGAGCCCGCGUCUGCCUCCGCUCAGCACCAGCGCGACGCCCCCAGCAUGCACACAGGGCCACGCGGCUCCGGUUCGUGGCAGCUUCCAUGGGUUUUCCAAGCAGCUUCCCGAGUUGUCAGUGUGCACAUUUUCUGAAGUUCCUGUUUGAAUCCGGUGCUGCAAACAAAAUGAAACGGGGAAAUUGUCCCAUCCGUGCGGUAGCAGAGGCAUCGCUGUGUGGGUUAACUUGGGCGGAUGUCAUGGUUGGUCCCUACACCUUUUAUAUCACUGGCUCUAUCUGGAGUCUGCUGGGUGUUGCUGUGAGUUUCUGGUCGCUGAAAAGGCCUGUCCUGGUUGCAGCCUUGGCGCUAGUCCCGCAGGCUGUGUCACCGAGGAACCUGUGGAGGGGGCGUGCGGGGGUCUCUUGCCUCUAACAGCUGCAUGUGUGUCUGCUCAUUUCAAAAUAAAACAUGGCAUUGAAAAAUCA